rnacentral:rRNA from 1 species
UGGGGAAUUUUCCGCAAUGGGCGAAAGCCUGACGGAGCAAUGCCGCGUGGAGGUGGAGGGCCUACGGGUCGUCAACUUCUUUUCUCGGAGAAGAAACAAUGACGGUAUCUGAGGAAUAAGCAUCGGCUAACUCUGUGCUAG